rnacentral:rRNA from 1 species
CAGUAGCCGCGGGAAUACGGAGGGAGCUAGCGUUGUUCGGAAUUACUGGGCGUAAAGCGCACGUAGGCGGUUAUUCAAAUCAGAGGUGAAAGCCCGGGGCUCAACCCCGGAACUGCCUUUGAAACUAGAUGACUGGAAUCUUGGAGAGGUCAGUGGAAUUCCGAGUGUAGAGGUGAAAUUCGUAGAUAUUCGGAAGAACACCAGUGGCGAAGGCGACUGACUGGACAAGUAUUGACGCUGAGGUGCGAAAGCGUGGGGAGCAAACAGGAUUAGAUACCCCAGUAGUCCCUGUCUCUUAUAC